GGCUCAGAUUGAACGCUGGCGGCAGGCCUAACACAUGCAAGUCGAGCGGUAGAGAGGUGCUUGCAUCUCUUGAGAGCGGCGGACGGGUGAGUAAUGCCUAGGAAUCUGCCUGGUGGUGGGGGGAUAACGUUCGGAAACGGACGCUAAUACCGCAUACGUCCUACGGGAGAAAGCGGGGGGAUCUUCGGACCUCGCGCCAUUAGAUGAGCCUAGGUCGGAUUAGCUAGUUGGUGAGGUAAUGGCUCACCAAGGCGACGAUCCGUAACUGGUCUGAGAGGAUGAUCAGUCACACUGGAACUGAGACACGGUCCAGACUCCUACGGGAGGCAGCAGUGGGGAAUAUUGGACAAUGGGCGAAAGCCUGAUCCAGCCAUGCCGCGUGUGUGAAGAAGGUCUUCGGAUUGUAAAGCACUUUAAGUUGGGAGGAAGGGUAGUAACCUAAUACGUUGCUACUUUGACGUUACCGACAGAAUAAGCACCGGCUAACUACGUG
rnacentral:rRNA from 1 species